AUUGAACGCUGGCGGCAUGCCUUACACAUGCAAGUCGAACGGUAGAGUAGCAAUACUCGAGAGUGGCGAACGGGUGAGUAAUAUAUCGGAACGUGCCCAGUCGUGGGGGAUAACGUAGAGAAAUUUACGCUAAUACCGCAUACGAUCUAAGGAUGAAAGCGGGGGAUUCGCAAGAACCUCGCGCGAUUGGAGCGGCUGAUAUCAGAUUAGGUUGUUGGUGAGGUAAAAGCUCACCAAGCCGACGAUCUGUAGCUGGUCUGAGAGGACGACCAGCCACACUGGGACUGAGACAGGCCCAGACUCCUACGGGAGGCAGCAGUGGGAAUUUGGACAAUGGGCGCAAGCCUGAUCCAGCAAUGCCGCGUGCAGGAUGAAGGCCUCGGGUUGUAAACUGCUUUGUACGGAACGAAACGGUGAGCUCUAAUACAGUUUGCUAAUGACGGUACCGUAAGAAUAAGCACCGGCUAACUACGUG
rnacentral:rRNA from 1 species